rnacentral:rRNA from 1 species
AGUACUGCUUUGGGGUUCGACUAAGCCAUGCGAGUCUAUGGACUUCGGUCCAUGGCGGACGGCUCAGUAACACGUGGCUAACCUACCCUCGGGUGGGGGAUAACCUCGGGAAACUGAGGAUAAUACCCCAUAGGAGAAGAGGUCUGGAAUGAUCCUUCUCUGAAAACAUAUGUGCCCGAGGAUGGGGCUGCGUCUGAUUAGGUAGUUGGUGGGGUAACGGCCCACCAAGCCUACGAUCAGUACGGGCCUUGAGAGAGGCAGCCCGGAGAUGGGGACUGAGACACGGCCCCAGGCCCUACGGGGCGCAGCAGGCGCGAAACCUCCGCAAUGCACGAAAGUGCGACGGGGGGACCCCAAGUGCUUACGCACUGCGUAGGCUUUUCUAAAGUGUAAAAAGCUUUAGGAAUAAGGGCUGGGCAAGUCCGGUGCCAGCAGCCGCGGUAACACCGGCGGCCCGAGUGGUGACCACUUUUAUUGGGCCUAAAGCGUCCGUAGCCGGUCCAGUAAGUCCCUGUUUAAAUCCUACGGCUUAACCGUAGGGCUGGCAGGGAUACUGCUGGACUUGGGACCGGGAGAGGGCGAGGGUACUUCAGGGGUAGCGGUGAAAUGUGUUGAUCCCUGGAGGACCACCUAUGGCGAAGGCACUCGCCUGGAACGGGUCCGACGGUGAGGGACGAAAGCCAGGGGCGCGAACCGGAUUAGAUACCCGGGUAGUCCUGGCCGUAAACUCUGCGGACUAGGUGUUAGGUAGGCCCCGUGCCUAUCUAGUGCCGAANGGAAGCCGUUAAGUCCGCCGCCUGGGGAGUACGGUCGCAAGACUGAAACU